GUUUAUGCCAAAAGAGACAAACUUUUUAGAAAUAAAAGAAAGCAGUUUUGAUGCCCUUUAGAGGAAUAGACAUUUGUAUCAUUUGAACGCUAUGCAACGUGUGUAUGUCUGUGAGGAAAAUCGCAAUUUCAAAAUUCUCAUUAAACUGCAUUACCACUGGUAUCCAUCUAGAAAGUCAUGCAAUUACAGCAUAGAAUUCAAAUAAAAGAGUAACAGGGAAAAUUAUCAGGUUAAACUGCAGUAAGAAUUCUAAGCAAACUGAACACUAGAAUUUUGAAAUU
rnacentral:misc_RNA from 1 species